UCUAACGUGGCAGAUAAGUGCGGUGGAUUUAAGCUCAACCAAUAAAGUUUGUAAACUUUCAUUAGAA
rnacentral:tRNA from 1 species